ensembl:lncRNA
CGGCUGCCGACCUUCAACUAUUAACCUUUCUUUUUUUUUUUCUCUCUCUUUUUUUUUCCUUCUUUAUCCUGAAAACAGCCGGUAUGGCAAGAAUGCUUUGAUCUGAAUAUUACAGGAUGGAAAAUGAAUCGGGACUGGGAGGUGAUGAGCCAGGGGAGGAAGUGGUGGGCAGCUUCGCCCUGGGUUGCAUGGAAUACAAGUAGAUUGCUCAGACUGGAAUUUCUGAUGCUGUUCACACCUCCCAGCAUGAACCUGAUACCAGACCGGUUUAUAUCAAGAAUACAAACUCUGCGCUCAGGCAAUAUUAUGCAUUAUUCCGUCAGUGCAGCUGUAAGCACCAUAGGAAUGAAGAGGAUCAAAAUGGCAAUUAAUGCUACACUUCUAAGAAUGCCUGUCUUAGUUUCUGAAGUUUGUACUACACUCUCACUUGGCACAGCUCUGCAUUCAACACCUUUCCUUCCCAGGUUGACCACAUCUUUCUGUAAUCUCCUGCCUCCUACUUGCUUCAGUGAAGCCCUAAUCCAGCUCAGCUAUCACCCUGCACAAACAAGCAGCUCUCCAGCUGAUCUCUUUGGCUCAGAGGCUCUCUACUUCUGCUGAUGUUCUGGGUCCAUCACAAGGUCUUCGCAAACCUGGCAGUUUCUGCUAGACUAACAGCUGUCUUCAUACUCCCAUAGCUCUGGGGCUUCCUGGAGUCAGAAGCACAUCACAAAGCAAUGAAUUUCAUGACUCCCAUGUGAAAAAAUUACUGGCUUAAAUGAAGUUAGAAGAAACCUUCUGGUCCAGAGGAUGCAAGCCAACCUGCUGGGGUCCCACAGCUGAGCUGCUAAAAUUUGGCCAAAGACAAAUAAAUUCUAUAGGAGAUGGGACAUACUUGAGGUGUGGCAGAGCAGUAAGUUAUUGCUCCACACCUACUGAGUUUUCAGAAUGUCCAAAUGUCUCAGCUGAGCUGCAAGUGGUUGCUUCUUGUUUUUGGCUGGCCUCAGUUCCUCAGAGCAUUGGAAGGAGGAGAUGCAGACACAAGAAGUGUUUCCAUCACAGAAAAAGCUGAACUACAUAAUGUCUGAAACGAUGGCUGGCGGCGUCCAGGCUUGUCUGUGUACCUAUUUGGGGAGCUGGAGAACAGCUCUGGAGGCACUUACGUGAGUCCGGAGUGUCCUUUAGGCGGCUCACUUGGAAGACAAUAAAACUGAUAUUUAGCAGAUUGCUGUCUCACACCUGAAUCGCCAGGAAGGGGUACAACAGCCUUCCCAAGAUGAAAUCCUUUGGUGAGAAAAGGAGCAAACUACAGUGAUGGAGAAAUAACUGUAACCAACCCAAAGGAUUAGGAGACAACCAAUUGCUGUCUCUACAAUACUAGAAAGUGCCUAAGUUCAUAGACCUUCAUUCUUUCCGUGCCAUUAUUCCUUUGUCAUCUUCUUAAUCUGCACAUGGUUGUUCUGUAUGUCUUUGGGUAUACUAGAAAUACAAAAAAUACAAGAAAAUUUCAAAAAGAGGAAAGCCCUCUAAAUUAAUCCAUCUCACCCAAACAACUUUACUUUACCUUUAUAUUGUUUGUAAAAUUUUAAGAAAUACUCAAUGGAAAAAGCUGUAAAGAUACCUUUUCUGCAAGCAUAGCUAAAAUCAUCAACAGACGCUUCCAUCAGAAUUACUAAUGUUUAAAUUCUGUGACUUUCUGCCGUAGCUACUAAAUCCUGCAGCCAUCACAAACACCUCUGUGCUGACCUCGUGAUUCUCAGGACUCCACAAGCUGUAGGAAGAAACUUUUGUGAAUAAAGGCUACAUACUCUGGAAAAUCUGGAAGAGUUUCAUACAGGUGUGCAGUCUGUCUAAAUACUCUUUAACCAUUACGUAUCAUAUUUAAUGGGUGAUGGGAGAACAAUAGCACGUUCUACAAAAUAAUUACUGUAGUUACAGAGCAGAGAUCAUUCCACAUCAAACCCAUAAAGUUAUAAAAUAAUGUACAUAUAUCCUUAGUAUAUUUAGGUAUGACAUUACUGUUUUGAAGUCUGUUUAAUUCUCACACAUCCUUGUCUCUAAGCUCUGACUAGCGUGAAAUUAAUGUCUUUUUAGACCAUGGCAAGCUUUUCUUGCUGGUUUGAAAUCCAUGCUGCCUUUGCUGGUAGGGAUGCUCUUACCGCAGCCCCAGGGGGCUCCUGGAAAUCAAGCAAUACCGUUUUCUUCUGCAGGAGAAAGGAACCAGCUUGGAAGGGGUUAAGUGGCUGGAGACCAGAUGCAGCUGGGCCCUGUUAAUCUGCAGGGACCAGCUGCUUUGUAUAAAAAAGAAGACAAGAAACAGAGUGGCUAGGGCUGGGGGAAAGCUGGGGGUAUUGAAUUGCUUAUGUUCUGGGAAAGGGAGUGAGUGUUUGCAUUUCAGAUGCUCGGUGCUCUGGAAGAGCAAGAAGAGCUCUGUUGGUAUUUGGGUUUGGUUGGGGAUGCUGCUGUUGCUGAUAGUGACUGAGCCUGGGUACUGGCUUUUAGUGCUCAGGUGCUCCUGAAAUGAUGGCUUGCAGGGUAGAAGCCCAGAGUAACUGAGCAAGGCAGGUGUAACAGGCUGCAAACCGGCCUUGAUUUCAUUUGAAUGCUUUUGAAAGAUGGAAAAAGGUUAAUGGAAGCCUCACCACUUUCUGGAUUCCUGAUGCAAAAGCCAGGGUGACUCCUCUCUUAUUUAGAAGGUUCUCAAGCAAAGCAACUACUGUUUCUCAAACAUAAUGAAUUACUUCAUCUGCCCCCAUUGCAAGGAUUGUACCUGUGUAUGCUAUAUCCACAUCAUCCACUGCAGCACUUGCCUGUGACAAAUGGAGUGUAGGAAGAAAGCCCCUGAGUAGUUUUCACUAUAUCUUUUAAGUAUUAAUUCUGAGCAAGUUCUCUGUCUGUCUUACUGUAGCUGCUUUGAAUGAAAUCUAGGCAGAAGUUGAAUUGCAUAAUACUAUGUACAGAGCUAUUGAAAUGUAUUUAGU